rnacentral:misc_RNA from 1 species
GAUGAAGAACGUAGCGAAAUGCGAUAAGUAAUGUGAAUUGCAGAAUUCAGUGAAUCAUCGAAUCUUUGAACGCACAUUGCGCCCGCCAGUAUUCUGGCGGGCAUGCCUGUCUGAGCGUCAUUUCAACCCUCAUGCCCCUAGGGCGUGGUGUUGGGGAUCGGCCAAAGCCCGCGAGGGACGGCCGGCCCCUAAAUCUAGUGGCGGACCCGUCGUGGCCUCCUCUGCGAAGUAGUGAUAUUCCGCAUGGGAGAGCGAUGAGCCCCUGCCGUUAAACCCCCAACUUUCCAAGGUUGACCUCAGAUCAGGUAGGAAUACCCGCUGAACUUAAGCAUAUCAAUAAGCGGAGGA